CCUCUUCUUCUCCCUCCAUUUGGCUGAAUAUCUCUCUCCCUUCUCCUCUCAUUUUCUUUUUAAAUCCUUCAAAGGAGACACCAAAAGUUAGAUGAAAUCCCAUGAAAUUAAUCAUUUAUCAUGAAGAUUAAAGCUUGUCUUUGAAGAUUUGAGUUGUGUUCUUCCAAGAAAAAGAUUUAGCGACAGUUUAAAAAUUGGGGAACCCUCAAAAUUGGAUAAAGGUAAAGCAAACGUUUGAAUUAAGGGGAUAUCUAGCAUCUCGGAGGUUGUUUAUUUAAGAUUGUGAAGGAAAUUGCAUGAUAUAUUGAUGGAGCGAAGAAAAUUCAGUUAACCUUUGCAAGUUUAUAAAACCUUUCACCUACAUUCAUUCUGGACAUAAAGAGGAAACUUUGGACAGUUUAUUGUCGAUUUCAUGUGAUUGCCCUGCUUAUUGCGAGCCCUCCGGGAUUGUGCCACCACCAAAAUGGGAAGAUUUAGGGAGGAGAAAGAUUGGUUGAAGGUUUUGUUUGUUGAGGAUAUCGAGUGCCUGUGUCCAGAGAGAAGAUCUUCUGCUUCCAGAUUAGAGUAUAAGUCUAUACUGCAGACUUGUGGCAUGUGUGAGAUUUGAAAUAAUGAGAGCUUGAAUUGAGGCUUUAUUUUAUUUAUUCCAUUGUAUUUGUUUUUGUCUCUUGAACUCUUAGAGGAUUUUAAAUUAUUUCCUCAUGGACUUGGACUCUU